rnacentral:rRNA from 1 species
GAUGAACGCUAGCUACAGGCUUAACACAUGCAAGUCGAGGGGUAACGAGAGGAAAGCUUGCUUUCCUUGUCGACGACCGGCGCACGGGUGAGUAACGCGUAUCCAACCUGCCCCCAACUAGGGAAUAACCUUGCGAAAGUAAGACUAAUACCCUAUAAUUUCCUCAGAUGACAUCUGACGAGGAAUAAAGAUUUAUCGGUUGUGGAUGGGGAUGCGUCUGAUUAGCUUGUUGGCGGGGUAACGGCCCACCAAGGCAACGAUCAGUAGGGGUUCUGGAAGGAAGGUCCCCACCAUUGGAACUGGGAAACGGUCCAAACUCCUACGGGAGGCAGAAGUGAGGAAUAUUGGUGCAUGGGCGGAAGCCUGAGCCAGCCAAGUAGCGUGCAGGAUGACGGCCCUAUGGGUUGUAAACUGCUUUUAUACAGGAAUAAAGUUAGCCACGUGUGGUUAUUUGUAGGUACUGUAUGAAUAAGGACCGGCUAAUUCCGUGCCAGCCGCCGCCGUAA